rnacentral:rRNA from 1 species
UCCACGCCGUAAACUAUGGAUACUAGCUGUUGGAGGUAUCGACCCCUUCAGUAGCGAAGCUAACGCGUUAAGUAUCCCGCCUGUGGAGUACGGUCGCAAGACUAAAACAUAAAGGAAUUGACGGGGAUCAGCACAAGCGGUGGAUCGUGUUCUUUAAUUCGAUGCUAAACGAAGAACCUUACCAGGGUUUGACAUCCCAAGAAUUUUGUCGAAAGACGAGAGUGCUUUAUUGAACUUGGUGACAGGUGUUGCAUGGCCGUCGUCAGCUCGUGUCGUGAGAUGUUUGGUUAAGUCCAUCAACGAGCGCAACCCUUGUGAAUAG